rnacentral:rRNA from 1 species
GUGUGUGAAGAAGGCCUUCGGGUUGUAAAGCACUUUCAGUCGUGAGGAAGGUGGUGUAGUUAAUAGCUGCAUUACUUGACGUUAGCGACAGAAGAAGCACCGGCUAACUCCGUGCCAGCAGCCGCGGUAAUACGGAGGGUGCGAGCGUUAAUCGGAAUUACUGGGCGUAAAGCGCAUGCAGGUGGUUUGUUAAGUCAGAUGUGAAAGCCCGGGGCUCAACCUCGGAAUAGCAUUUGAAACUGGCAGACUAGAGUACUGUAGAGGGGGGUAGAAUUUCAGGUGUAGCGGUGAAAUGCGUAGAGAUCUGAAGGAAUACCGGUGGCGAAGGCGGCCCCCUGGACAGAUACUGACACUCAGAUGCGAAAGCGUGGGGAGCAAACAGGAUUAGAUACCCUGGUAGUCCACGCCGUAAACGAUGUCUACUUGGAGGUUGUGGCCUUGAGCCGUGGCUUUCGGAGCUAACGCGUUAAGUAGACCGCCUGGGGAGUACGGUCGCAAAGAUUAAAACUCAAAUGAAUUGACGGGGGCCCGCACAAGCGGUGGAGCAUGUGGUUUAAUUCGAUGCAACGCGAAGAACCUUACCUACUCUUGACAUCCAGAGAACUUUCCAGAGAUGGAUUGGUGCCUUCGGGAACUCUGAGACAGGUGCUGCAUGGCUGUCGUCAGCUCGUGUUGUGAAAUGUUGGGUUAAGUCCCGCA